CCCUUAGAUGUCCUGGGCCGCACGCGCGCUACACUGAACGGAUCAGCGCGUUUUCCCUUCCCGAGAGGGACGGGUAACCUGCUGAACCCCGUUCGUGGUAGGGAUCGGGGCUUGCAAUUAUUCCCCGUGAACCAGGAAUGCCCAGUAAGUGCAAGUCAUAAGCUUGCGUUGAUUACGUCCCAGCCCUUUGUACACACCGCCCGUCGCUACUACCGAUUGAACGUUUUAGUGAGGUACUCGGACUGAGCCUCAGAAGAUUCACGUCUUUUGUGCUGCUCGGGAAGAUUCCCAAACUUGAGCGUUUAGAGGAAGUAAAAGUCGUAACA
rnacentral:rRNA from 1 species